GGAAGCAGGAACAAAACAAUAUCGAAUGAAUCAACUCCGUUGUAGAACUAAAAGAAAACUGAAUCGCGCAGGAAGGGAUUAGAUUUCUAAUAAAACCUUCUCGUUUGUUUCCUUAAUUAAUCCUUUUUCAUUUCUUCAAAACCUAAACCACAAUGUUGUUUUCAACUUUGAGGCAUUUUCGUUUCUCCAAUUUUCCUCUUUUUCAACUUUCAAACCCUAAAUUCAUUCCUUGCUUCCAUUCUUCAUCAAUGCUAAUGCUAUACUCUCAAUUACAUCACCAACAAGAAGACCAACAUAAUCAUCUUGUUUCUUCAUUCAAUCAAUUACUACAUCAGAAUCCAACUCCACCCAUCUUCCAUUUUGGUAAGAUUUUAGGUUCUCUUGUUAAGUCCAAUCAUUACUACACUGUUGUUUCACUUCAUCGUCAGAUGGAACUAAAUGGAAUUGCUUCAAAUUUAGUCACUUUCAACAUCUUGAUCAAUUGUUUUUCUCAAUUGGGUCUAAACUCUCUUUCCUUUUCUGUAUUUGCCAACAUUCUCAAAAAGGGUUAUGACCCAGAUGCCAUAACUUUGACUACACUCAUCAAGGGUCUUUGUCUCAAAGGUCAGAUCCAUAAAGCAUUGAACUUUCAUGACAACGUCGUAGCACUGGGAUUUCAGUUGGACCAAGUUAGUUACGGGACCUUAAUCAAUGGGUUAUGUAAAGUAGGAGAAACAGGUGCAGCCUUGCAGUUGCUGAGACGAGUUGAUGGGAAACUGGUACAACCUGAUGUGGUAAUGUACAGUGCAAUUAUUGACAGUAUGUGCAAAGAUAAACUUGUUGAUGAUGCUUUUGAUUUAUAUUCUGAAAUGGUCGCUAAGAGAAUUUAUCCCGAUGUUUUCACUUACAAUGCUUUGAUUAAUGGCUUUUGCAUUGUUGGUAAAUUGAAAGAAGCAAUUGAUUUGUUUAAUAAAAUGAUAUUGGAAAACAUCAACCCUGAUGUGUAUACCUUCAAUAUAUUGGUUGAUGCAUUUUGUAAGGAAGGAAAAGUGAAAGAAGCUAAUAAUGUGUUUGCUAUGAUGAUCAGAAAAGGUGUUAAACCUGAUGUUGUUACUUAUAACUCUUUAAUGGAUGGAUAUUGCUUAGUUAAAGAAAUGAAAAAGGCCAAGAGUAUAUUCAAUAUCAUGGCCCAAAGUGGAGUGACUCCUGAAGUUCGGAGCUAUAGUAUUAUGAUUAAUGGAUUUUGUAAGGUUAAAAUGGUGGAUGAAGCCUUAAUUCUCUUCAAAGAAAUGCGUUGUAGAAACAUUAUUCCUGAUGUGAUAGCUUACAGUUCCCUUAUUGAUGGUUUGGGCAAAUCAGGGAGAAUCUCUCAUGCUUUGCAGCUUGUUGAUGAGAUGCAUGAUAGAGGUCAACCACCUAAUAUAGUUACCUACAAUUCUAUAUUUGAUGCUUUAUGCAAAACCCAUCAUGUUGAAAAGGCGAUUGCAUUAUUAACAAAAGUUAAGGACGAGGGCAUUCAACCAAAUAUGAACACAUAUACUAUUCUUAUUCACGGAUUGUGUAAAGUUGGAAGAGUAGAGGACGCGAGAAAUGUUUUUGUAGAUCUUUCAUUCAAAGGCUACAAUCUAAGUGUUUAUACAUAUACUGUUAUGAUCCAAGGGUUUUGCAUCAAGGGCUUGUUUGAUGAAGCGUUGGCCUUGCUAUCAAAAAUGAAAGACAAUGGUUGCAUUCCAAAUGCCAAAACUUAUGAAAUAAUUAUCCGUUGUCUAUUUGAUAGAGAUGAAAAUGAUAAGGCAGAGAAACUUCUACGUGAAGCUGUCGUGAGAGGUCUACUGUAAGAUUGAAACUAGUGUAUUCAACGUAUAGUAGAUCCCCAUCGCUUCUUCCAAGUCGCUGAUUCCAUCACCAGUCCGUUUUCAUCGCAAAGGAUUGAGCCAUCUUCCGUCGUGUUGCUGCUGCAGGUUGGCAUCGGUGUUGGCCUUGAUAUAAUUCCUGGUAAGGGUUUUCUCCAUCUUGGCUGAGCAGUAGUUGAUUGACAAUGGUUGUUAUUGGUAGUGUGGUUGCUGGUAGGAAUAGCGUUCAAAGUCCAGAGCUUUUUCCAAACUAAAUUUUGUUGUUGGUUACUUGAAGGACUAGCCUUUUCACUAUAUACUGCCCAUCUUUAGAGUGCAUCCACAUAAGUUGGUCAUCAAUUGGCUCUUUUAUUAAAGGAAGUUGUUUGAAUUGUUCUCCUUCAAAAGCUAAGAAUACUAACCAAUCGUUAAUUGGUUCAGCGAUGAUUGGUGCUGAACUUGGUAGAGAGGACCAUGAUUCGAUCCCCACAACUGCGAUCGGAGGGGGCGAGAACCACUUGAUGCAAGAACUGACCCCCUAACCAGAUUAGGCGGUCCAGCGGGCCGGAUAAUGGUGGUGAAAACCAAAAACAAAAGAAUACUUGGUCGAUAAGAUUGACAUUCCACUCAGCCGAGGGUUGGAAAAGCAUAAGGUCAUUUACUGUAGUAAUGUUGGAGUGGCUAUUUUGAGGAGUCAAAAUUUUGAAGCCAUUUUGUCUAGGAAGCCAGUUGUCCUCCCAAGGAUUUAUAGUAGUCCCAUUCCCAAUCUUCCAGCAUCCUCCCUUUUUAAGAAUCCACAAAGCUUGUUGAAUGCUCUUCCAGACAUGACAUAACUAGGUUUGUAUCCACUCUGUACUUGUAGAACAUCAGUAUUAGGAAAAUAUCUUGCUUUAAAAGGCUUUGUCCUAAUAAAGAAUUAGGAUUUGUGUCAAGUCUCCAUCCUUGCUUGGCCAACAUGGCCUGGUUACAAAGAUGCAUAUUCCUGAAGCCCAAACCUCCAUCAAAUUUUGCCUUAAAAAGAUCCUUCCUUCUUUUUCAAUGGAUUUUGUGGUUACCAUCCUUACUUCCCCACCAGAACUGACAUAUAGCCUUUUCAAUUUGCUCACAAACCUUUUUAGGUAGUAAAAAGCAACUCAGUAUAUAAAUACAAUUUGAAACAAAUGAACACGCACCAAUAUGGGACAAUAAUGCCAACGCUAACACUUUGUUGAUGAAUGAAAUAAUAUAACUUUGUAUAUUAAUAUUCUAAAGAAAAAUCCUUCAUUCUUUAUUUUGGCAUUUCAUUUGGGCCACUGUCAAUAAAGAGCCCAAACUGACGCAGUAUUUAGCAAACCUCAAUAAAACGACGUCGUCACGUACUUUAGAUUUGUCAAUUUUUAUUAUGGAUGAAAAAAUCAAUCUGUGAUUGUAAUAUAUGAUUUGUUUUUUAGCUUUUUGAACCAAUUGUUUUUUCAUGAAUUUAUAGAUCUGUUGUUUUUUGUUUAAAUCAUGUAAUUUAGUUUGAAAAGUUAUGAGCUUUUAAUGUUUUGGUUGCUUGAUUUUGGAUCUGUUAAGAUAAGACUUUGAUUGUAAUUUAUGUUGCUUAUUUGAUGAAAAUGAUGUUUUUAUUGUUGUUUGAUUUGAUUGUGUUUGGUUGGUGAUACUUUAAACAGUGACAUGUUUUACUUAUGAAUUUUUUUGAUCUGGUUUUACUUUUUUUUUAUGGUGUAACAUGAAGUCAUGUUUAUCUUAUAUGAUGUUUUUCAAAAUAAGAUUGGAUCUAGUUUAUAUCUAUUUUUGAAAGUCGUAUUUCAUUACAUGUUUUUGUUAUUAGUUUUAUUGAUGAAAAUGAGAGUAAAGGAAGAAUAAUAAACCUGAGAGGUAAUGCAAUUUGUAACCUCCCAACUUAGGUCAAUCCUCUGUAUGGCCCAAGUCUAAUCUAAUGAGAAGAUGAGCUUUCUUUUCCUCAUCAUUUAUCUGCUAUGUAACCUUUAAUUUGAGGACUAUCCUCCUCCAACCAAUGACCGCCCUUUCUUUUGGCCAAGAUUUGAGGAUCAAACUGUAGAGGGCUCACUACUAAAAGUCAACCCACAUUUUAGCACACAAGUCAAAUUAGGAGGAUCUAACUUUAGACAAUCAAGGAGUAACACAUGUAAUAGGAACAUUAUUACUAUUUUGAGAUCCAAUUGAUGAAAUUCUCUCUUGUUUCCCGACAUCCCGUUCUCUAUAUGGGACCCCAAAAUUCUAAGGAGGUUAAAGAGGAAAUUUUGAAUCAGAAAAGAAGCAAGGAAUAAAGGUGUAGACAAAUUCCUGAACUAGCCAGUAGGCACAAUGGUCAUUU